rnacentral:rRNA from 1 species
GACGAACGCUGGCGGCGUGCUUAACACAUGCAAGUCGAACGGAAAGGCCCUGCUUUUGUGGGGUGCUCGAGUGGCGAACGGGUGAGUAACACGUGAGUAACCUGCCCUUGACUUUGGGAUAACUUCAGGAAACUGGGGCUAAUACCGGAUAGGAGCUCCUGCUGCAUGGUGGGGGUUGGAAAGUUUCGGCGGUUGGGGAUGGACUCGCGGCUUAUCAGCUUGUUGGUGGGGUAGUGGCUUACCAAGGCUUUGACGGGUAGCCGGCCUGAGAGGGUGAUCGGCCACCUUGGGACUGAGAUACGGCCCAGACUCCUACGGGAGGCAGCAGUGGGGAAUAUUGCACAAUGGGCGGAAGCCUGAUGCAGCAACGCCGCGUGCGGGAUGACGGCCUUCGGGUUGUAAACCGCUUUCGCCUGUGACGAAGCGUGAGUGACGGUAAUGGGUAAAGAAGCACCGGCUAACUACGUG